GGGACUUACAAAAACAGUAACUCGUCAGAAAGCCAACAAUAUAUGUAAUAAACAAUGGCAGGUUUAUAAGACAUCUAGAUUGCUAAACCACAACUUAUCAUUUUAAAAAACAUAUUAUGAAACUCUGUCCUCAAAUGACUGAUCUGAUCACAUCUGCACCGAGGACAGCAUACUGAUUAAAGAUAUCACCGGGAUCAGAGUACACCAGGUGCCCUUGGCAAGACAGAUAAGCUGCAGUAAUAUGAUUACACGUCCUGCAUUGUGCAACCCGUGACUCAACCUCUAAUUACAGCUGUGCUGCACUGUUUGCAGGUCAGUGUGUGUGUGUGUGUGUGAAUGCUUACUGGACGCCCUGUCCGAGUCUUUACUGUGAACUGUGAUGAAUUCAUUGGAAACCACAUGCGUGUAAACACAGCGGGUUGCACAACACGUGUAGUGCAUUUACUGUAAGUACAAAUGGGGAAAUAAAAUCACUCACUCCUGCCGCAUAAGCCAACAGAGUAUUUACAUACACCAGUGUUUCAUAAAGAGAAGAGGAUUAUUUAUGCCUACAUAAUGAGCGGUUUUACCACUUUAAGAAGGAAGUUGGUAGAUUAACUGUUGAUCAGCUGUGAUUGUUCCACUUAACUUACAUUAUAUCACCACAAAGAGUUGAUUCUGCUUCACUUCUCCUAAAUGCUUUAGAUCAGCGAUUCCAACACUGUAUUUGGUGACAAAGCUGCUUGUUUUUAACAGAAACUGAGUAAACUGCGGCUCAGGACGCUCUGAAUGGAGUCCAGGAAGCCCGUAAUUUUACAUGUGUCCUUUGCACCACGCUUGUGACUCGGGUGGAAAUGGGUGUCAAAGGUGAGCGCAAAUCUGACAAAUACAGAAAUACAGACAGCAGGUCAAGGACGGCAGGUAGUUCAAGGGAGGGGCGGAGCCAGCUAAUGGUUACACUGAGUUAAACAAAUGAGCAGAGGGGGCGAGUCACAGAGGGGGUGGAGCCAGAGCCACAAACAGACACACCCACACAAGCAAAGUGAUUAUCUCAGUGGAAAAAUGGUCCAGAUGUCUCCUGCAUCCCUGCAGAUUCAUGUUCUCUUUUUUUUUAAGUAUCACAGCAGGAGUGGUCCGGAAUGACCUAGAUCUGUAAAGGAGCGACGGCGGGACGUGCUGAGACGCUUACAGACAGAAAUACUGCUUAUUUUAGUGUUCCACAUGCAAUUUUACGUAAAAAGUUUUUAUUAGACUCACUGUAAUUCAUUGUUGGUCAUAUUUAGUAUUCAACCAAUAAAGGGCAUGAUAUCAGCUGCUGUAAUGUCUAUAUACUGUAUGUAAUACAACAAAAUCACAAGAGACAGGCACAAAAUUUAUGCAUUUACUUGUAAUUAUUAAAUCAUUCACUUAAAAUGUAUAAUUCGCUUUCAAGUCAAAAUAUUGUGGCACUUCAUAAAAUGUUGAAAGAGCAAUUAUGGACAAUAUCAG
ensembl:lncRNA